rnacentral:rRNA from 1 species
GAUGAACGCUAGCUACAGGCUUAACACAUGCAAGUCGAGGGGAAACGAUAGAGAAAGCUUGCUUUUUCUAGGCGUCGACCGGCGCACGGGUGAGUAACGCGUAUCCAACCUGCCCAUCACUUGGGGAUAACCUUGCGAAAGUAAGACUAAUACCCAAUGACGUCUCUAGAAGACAUCUGAAAGAGAUUAAAGAUUUAUCGGUGAUGGAUGGGGAUGCGUCUGAUUAGCUUGUUGGCGGGGUAACGGCCCACCAAGGCGACGAUCAGUAGGGGUUCUGAGAGGAAGGUCCCCCACAUUGGAACUGAGACACGGUCCAAACUCCUACGGGAGGCAGCAGUGAGGAAUAUUGGUCAAUGGACGAGAGUCUGAACCAGCCAAGUAGCGUGCAGGAUGACGGCCCUAUGGGUUGUAAACUCCUUUUACCUGGGAAUAACGGGCGCUACGCGUAGCGCUGUGCAUGUACCGGGAGAAUAAGCAUCGGCUAAUUCCGUGCCAGCAGCCG